GGGAUAACAACAGAUGAUGCCCUAUCAACUGUUUUAAAAAGAUGGUUCUGCUAUCACUCUUGGGAUGGGACCCUGCGGUGCAUUAGCUAGUUGGUAGGGUAAUGGCCUACCAAGGCGAUGAUGCAUAGCCGAGUUGAGAGACUGAUCGGCCACAUUGGGACUGAGACACGGCCCAAACUCCUACGGGAGGCAGCAGUAGGGAAUCUUCCACAAUGGACGCAAGUCUGAUGGAGCAACGCCGCGUGAGUGAAGAAGGGUUUCGGCUCGUAAAGCUCUGUUGUUGGUGAAGAAGGACAGGGGUAGUAACUAACCUUUGUUUGACGGUAAUCAAUUAGAAAGUCACGGCUAACUACGUGCCAGCAGCCGCGGUAAU
rnacentral:rRNA from 1 species